rnacentral:rRNA from 1 species
UAGGAUGAACGCUAGCUACAGGCUUAACACAUGCAAGUCGAGGGGCAGCAUGGUCUUAGCUUGCUAAGGCCGAUGGCGACCGGCGCACGGGUGAGUAACACGUAUCCAACCUGCCGUCUACUCUUGGACAGCCUUCUGAAAGGAAGAUUCAUACAAGAUGGCAUCAUGAGUCCACAUGUUCACAUGAUUAAAGGUAUUCCGGUAGACGAUGGGGAUGCGUUCCAUUAGAUAGUAGGCGGGGUAACGGCCCACCUAGUCUUCGAUGGAUAGGGGUUCUGAGAGGAAGGUCCCCCACAUUGGAACUGAGACACGGUCCAAACUCCUACGGGAGGCAGCAGUGAGGAAUAUUGGUCAAUGGGCGAGAGCCUGAACCAGCCAAGUAGCGUGAAGGAUGACUGCCCUAUGGGUUGUAAACUUCUUUUAUAAAGGAAUAAAGUCGGGUAUGCAUACCCGUUUGCAUGUACUUUAUGAAUAAGGAUCGGCUAACUCCGUGCCAGCAGCCGCGGUAAUACGGAGGAUCCGAGCGUUAUCCGGAUUUAUUGGGUUUAAAGGGAGCGUAGAUGGAUGUUUAAGUCAGUUGUGAAAGUUUGCGGCUCAACCGUAAAAUUGCAGUUGAUACUGGAUAUCUUGAGUGCAGUUGAGGCAGGCGGAAUUCGUGGUGUAGCGGUGAAAUGCUUAGAUAUCACGAAGAACUCCGAUUGCGAAGGCAGCCUGCUAAGCUGCAACUGACAUUGAGGCUCGAAAGUGUGGGUAUCAAACAGGAUUAGAUACCCUGGUAGUCCACACGGUAAACGAUGAAUACUCGCUGUUUGCGAUAUACUGCAAGCGGCCAAGCGAAAGCGUUAAGUAUUCCACCUGGGGAGUACGCCGGCAACGGUGAAACUCAAAGGAAUUGACGGGGGCCCGCACAAGCGGAGGAACAUGUGGUUUAAUUCGAUGAUACGCGAGGAACCUUACCCGGGCUUAAAUUGCAGAUGAAUUACGGUGAAAGCCGUAAGCCGCAAGGCAUCUGUGAAGGUGCUGCAUGGUUGUCGUCAGCUCGUGCCGUGAGGUGUCGGCUUAAGUGCCAUAACGAGCGCAACCCUUGUUGUCAGUUACUAACAGGUUCUGCUGAGGACUCUGACAAGACUGCCAUCGUAAGAUGUGAGGAAGGUGGGGAUGACGUCAAAUCAGCACGGCCCUUACGUCCGGGGCUACACACGUGUUACAAUGGGGGGUACAGAGGGCCGCUACCACGCGAGUGGAUGCCAAUCCCAAAAACCUCUCUCAGUUCGGACUGGAGUCUGCAACCCGACUCCACGAAGCUGGAUUCGCUAGUAAUCGCGCAUCAGCCACGGCGCGGUGAAUACGUUCCCGGGCCUUGUACACACCGCCCGUCAAGCCAUGGGAGCCGGGGGUACCUGAAGUGCGUAACCGCGAGGAGCGCCCUAGGGUA